CCGUAGCUCAGUGGUAGAGCACCGCAUUCGUAAUGCGGCGGUCGGCGGUUCAAGUCCGCCCG
rnacentral:tRNA from 1 species